GGCUACUACAUCCAAGGAAGGCAGCAGGCGCGCAAAUUACCCAAUCCCGACGCGGGGAGGUAGUGACAAUAAAUACUGAUACAGGGCUCUUUUGGGUCUUGUAAUUGGAAUGAGUACAAUUUAAUUCCCUUAACGAGGAACAAUUGGAGGGCAAGUCUGGUGCCAGCAGCCGCGGUAAUUCCAGCUCCAAUAGCGUAUAUUAAAGUUGUUGCAGUUAAAAAGCUCGUAGUUGAACCUUGGGCCUGGCUGGCCGGUCCGCCUCACCGCGUGCACUGGUCCGGCCGGGCCUUUCCCUCUGGGGAGCCGCAUGCCCUUUACUGGGCGUGUCGGGGAACCAGGACUUUUACUUUGAAAAAAUUAGAGUGUUCAAAGCAGGCUUAUGCUCGAAUACAUUAGCAUGGAAUAAUAGAAUAGGACGUGUGGUUCUAUUUUGUUGGUUUCUAGGACCGCCGUAAUGAUUAAUAGGGACAGUCGGGGGCAUCAGU
rnacentral:rRNA from 1 species